rnacentral:rRNA from 1 species
UAACACGUGGGUAACCUGCCUGUAAGACCGGGAUAACUCCGGGAAACCGGUGCUAAUACCGGAUAGAUUAUCUUUCCGCCUGGAGAGAUAAGGAAAGAUGGCUAUUGCCAUCACUUACAGAUGGGCCCGCGGCGCAUUAGCUAGUUGGUGAGGUAACGGCUCACCAAGGCGACGAUGCGUAGCCGACCUGAGAGGGUGAUCGGCCACACUGGGACUGAGACACGGCCCAGACUCCUACGGGAGGCAGCAGUAGGGAAUCUUCCGCAAUGGACGAAAGUCUGACGGAGCAACGCCGCGUGAGUGAAGAAGGUCUUCGGAUCGUAAAGCUCUGUUGUUAGGGAAGAACAAGUAUCGGAGGAAAUGCCGGUACCUUGACGGUACCUGACGAGAAAGCCACGGCUAACUACGUGCCAGCAGCCGCGGUAAUACGUAGGUGGCAAGCGUUGUCUGGAAUUAUUGGGCGUAAAGCGCGCGCAGGCGGUCCUUUAAGUCUGAUGUGAAAUCUUGCGGCUCAACCGCAAGCGGUCAUUGGAAACUGGGGGACUUGAGUGCAGAAGAGGAAA